rnacentral:tRNA from 1 species
ACUCGUUCCCGUAGUUGGUCGAACGGAGCGGACUCUUAAUCCGACGGCGAAAGCCCAUCGCAGGUUCGAAUCCUGCCGGGUC